UACAGAGGGUGCAAGCGUUAAUCGGAAUUACUGGGCGUAAAGCGUGCGUAGACGGUUAUUUAAGUCAGGUGUGAAAGCCCCGGGCUCAACCUGGGAAUUGCAUUUGAGACUGAAUAGCUAGGGUGCGGAAGAGGGAAGCGGAAUUUCCGGUGUAGCGGUGAAAUUCGUAGAUAUUCGCAAGAACACCAGUGGCGAAGGCGGCUCACUGGCCCGAUACUGACGCUGAGGCACGAAAGCGUGGGGAGCAAACAGG
rnacentral:rRNA from 1 species